GUUGGGGUGAGGUUUCUUGCAUUAGUACAUUGACGCGUACAUGUUUUUCUGUUGGCUACAUACAGGAGUUCUCUAAACGAUGCUGUUUUCCUGCAUAGUUUUCAAUCCAGUCUGCAUUGAAACCUGUCAUUCCCAACAAUGUCAUCAUUUCGCUGACUGUCCGUGGACUUGGAGCUUUGGUAAAACCUUCCAGUUGAGAAGGUGAAAUGCUAACUCUUCCUUGAGGUAUUUGUCUUCCUAGGUAAUCUACCUGUGGUUGACAGUACUGUAGUUUUUGUUUGGAGACCUUGUGUCCUCCCUCUGCUAAUCUUUGCAGAACUUUGAUUGAGUCCUGAUGACAGUCAUUUAGUGUGUUUCCGCAGAUUAACAAAUCGUCCACAUUUCGUUAGUCCACAUUAAGAAAAACAAAAAAAAAUUGAGAUGCAAUACGGGGUUAAUUUCUCUCGCGAAAGCGAGACUAAAAUCUUUUUACUUUUUGUUUUUUCAGAGGUCCUUUUGUCUCUCCUCGGGCGGGGGAGAGAG